rnacentral:rRNA from 1 species
UCAGCUCGUGUCGUGAGAUGUUCGGUUAAGUCCGCUAACGAGCGCAACCCUCGCUGUGUGUUAUAUGUGUCACACGGGACUGCCGGUCUUAAGCCGGAGGAAGGUGGGGAUGAUGUCAAGUCAGCAUGGCCUUUAUAUCCUGGGCUACACACACGCUACAAUGGCCAACACAAUAGGUUGCUAAGCCGCGAGGUGGCGCCAAUCCAUAAAGUUGGUCUCAGUUCAGAUUGUAGGCUGCAACUCGACUCCAUGAAGCUGGAGUCGCUAGUAAUCCCGGAUCAGCACUUGCCCGGGUAAUACGUUCCGGCCUU